rnacentral:rRNA from 1 species
GGACAAAGUGACAGGUGGUGCAUGGUUGUCGUCAGCUCGUGUCGUGAGAUGUUGGGUUAAGUCCCGCAACGAGCGCAACCCUUAUUGUUAGUUGCCAUCAUUUAGUUGGGCACUCUAGCGAGACUGCCGGUGACAAACCGGAGGAAGGUGGGGAUGACGUCAAAUCAUCAUGCCCCUUAUGACCUGGGCUACACACGUGCUACAAUGGGAAGUACAACGAGUCGCUAGACCGCGAGGUCAUGCAAAUCUCUUAAAGCUUCUCUCAGUUCGGAUUGCAGGCUGCAACUCGCCUGCAUGAAGCCGGAAUCGCUAGUAAUCGCGGAUCAGCACGCCGCGGUGAAUACGUUCCCGGGCCUUGUACACACCGCCCGUCACACCACGAGAGUUUGUAACACCCGAAGUCGGUGAGGUAACCUUUUUGGAGCCAGCCGCCUAAGGUGGGAUAGAUGAUUGGGGUGAAGUCGUAACAAGGUAGCCGUAUCGGAAGGUGCGGCUGGAUCACCUCCUUUCUAAGGAA